AGAAGGGCUGCGAACCCGCGAGGGGGAGCGAAUCCCAAAAAGCCGCUCUCAGUUCGGAUUGCAGGCUGCAACUCGCCUGCAUGAAGCCGGAAUCGCUAGUAAUCGCGGAUCAGCAUGCCGCGGUGAAUACGUUCCCGGGCCUU
rnacentral:rRNA from 1 species